CCAGAAGGACAUACAAGGGCGGUUACAAGUUGGCAGCAAGAACAGGCUGACUCUCUUUGGACAAGUUCAGUUAAACCCUUUGAACUCAAGUCACCAAGCAAUAAAGGUUAAAGCCAAGUUCACCCACCAGCUCCAGCUGCAGCUCCCCUCCUCUGCUAUAAUGGAGGCAGAUGUAUGCUGGAACCCCAAAAACAACACUGACUUUGAUUAUCAGACCAGAGGGAAGCUGAGAAUAGAGCGACAGGAGUGUAAAUUUUCUGUACAGCUGAAC